AAGGGACAACAGAUGAAAGAACAUCCCACGAUAUAGUGCGGUCUUUAAAAAUGAUCAUGACGCAACUACGUCGUAUGGAAGAGCGACAAAUUUCCAUCGAAAAGAAAACUGAUGAAAAUACAACGGCCAUUAAACGGUUAAUGCGAGAGUCUGCAGUAAAGAGACC